GAAACAGUCUGCAUGCCUAGGUGCUUGAUUUUAUACACCUGUGAACAUGGAAGUGAUUGGAACACCUGAUUUACAUUAUUUGGAUGGGUGAGUGAAUACUUUUGGUAAUAUAGUGUAUGUCAGUUAACAAAUGCUAAACAGAGCUAGCGAGCUACACAUGCUAACAUUAGCUUUGGAUGCUAGCCUAGUGUGCAUCCUUGUUUUAUGACAACAACAACAGUUCUAACAUGUAAACUUACUUCCCACACAUGUAUAAACUUAAUCUAAAUGUGUAUGAUGCCUGUGCACUUCUCUCUCACCUGUAAACAUAACAGAAAGACAGUCUUGUUUGAGAACUGGUGUCUAGUGCUUCUUUACAGACCGUCUAAUGCAAUAAUACAACUGGGGCCUGUACAACGAAGCUGGAUUUUCUCUUAUCCAGAUAACUUCAGAAUUAACCCUGGAUUUUCUGUACGACAAAGCUGGUUCAGCAUAAGUUACCGGGAUAAAUCAUCGUGGUAACUUAUGCUGAAUGGCUAACCUGCUCCGGAGCUGGUUAUGUUCUGGAUUAGAGAUCACCGAGAAUAAAAGCACCGCCUCCUGACCAAUCAGUUCUCUUGGAAAAUGGCCUGCCCAUUCUUAGAAGAUCCUGGUUGGUGCACGGAAAAAGAGAAGAGUGCUUAGGAGAGAAAGAAUCUUUAGGGAUAGAUGAUAAUUAAUUCCGGUGAUUUCAUCCAUACAGCAGAGACAGUGUGAAGAAAUAAAGCCUUGUCACCCGCCGCUAUGUUUUUAUAUUUGAUCUUCUGUUCCAAGUCUUUUUUGCUCCACUAGGAUUGCAUCUGAAAUAAUGGGGUUAAUAAUAAUGGUCACACAUUAUGUCCUUUGCACACUGGGUCCAAUUAUUUCGUCCGAAUUUUUUCGCACGUUAAAAAAGAAAAUCGAGCUCAUGUUGCUCCAAUGAAGGUUGCACACUGACGCCGAAAUUUUUGUCCGUCAUUUCUUGUCGGAACAGGCUCGAUUUUGUGCGAAAUUUCACAUCAGUCCAAGUUAUUUAAAUGGGUGAGUGAUGAUUUAAAACAGUGUCCACUGCUUCCUCCUCGCUUGCUCACCCUCACCAGACCUCUCCUCCCCCUCUCUCGCCCUGAAACCUCACUUUAAACACCAAAGUUUGCUCAUGUAUUAUGUGGAUAUAAACCAUGGAAGUAUAACAGAUGGGUGAUAGAUGAUUCAGAUCAGCGCCCAUUGCUUUCUCUCUCUCUCACUCACCCUCAUCCAACUCAUCCCUCUCUCCCGAAACCUCACUUUAAACCCCAUAGUUUGCAGGUGUGUCAUGUGGAUAUCAGCGAUGGAAAUAUAACAGAUAAAGAGGCUACAUUUGUAGCCUACACACAGCUCAUAACAGAGACUGAAUAAAAAAAGUUUCCCUCCAUCUGUCCAACUUGUCUCUGCGCUAUGACGCAUGGGCAGGUGCUGAAUGGAGCUUUCUGUCAGGAUGGAUCCAGCGGGAUUUUAAAGGAGUGACAGAGACGCAGGCUCACAGUACUAAAAUAUUUGCCACCUUUUACGAAUUUUCGCAGUGAAGGCAAAUAAAAAGGCAUCAGAUCCAGUGUGCAAGGUCCGAGUGAGUGACAUUUUUUUGGGAUUACGGAUCGGAAAAUAACGGACAGUGUGUAAAAACCUUAUCACUGGAAUAUGGAUUAAUGGAACGUGCGAGGAAUUAAUAUUACAACACAAAAUUCGCCGAGGAAGCUCUGCCCAAAAAAUAUGUGUCUUAAUAAAGUGAAACUGAGUAAUCAGAGUGCUGUCAGUUUAUAUUGUCCCAUAAAUUAAUUUUGUAUAGUCUGACGAAUUUAUGCAUUAACAGAGUCAGCAAUUUUCUGCCAGCAUUCAUUCCUGGCUUUUGCUGCGGCGACAGUGUUGCUUCUGGCCUGGAUGAUUGAUUUAAAUUCCUCCUAUUUUUGAAGAAUGAUUGUCUGUUCCUCCAUUGAAAAGAUGCUGCUCUACAGGCUUUCUCCAUGUUUGUGAUUGGUCAGACGCUGCAAACACCACCCCUUUUAUGUGAGCGCGCACUGAUCCAGAUUGGAAAACCCUGGCUGCAAUUAGCGAGUUGAUAACCAGCUUCGUCGUACAGCUGAUCCAGAUUGCAAAUGUCUUGAUAAGUCAAUCCAGCUAGCAGAGAGAUAUCCAGGGCUUGUUAAUCCAGCUUCGUCGUACAGGCUUCUGAGCUUCCUUCCUGCUAAGCCAGGAGAGCAGCAUCAGCUGAUAACAAAACAGUGCGACUACUGACACCUACUGGUCAAAAUGAAUAUCAUCCUGAAGGUACAUUAGGCUUAAGCAGGUGAGUUUAUCUUGUUUAAAGUGACGAAGAACAUCUAAAUAAAUUUAAUUUAACUAGAAAAAUUAUGGUGGUGGGGGGGACCAAUUUGAUAACAGACACUGAUGAACAACAAUCCUGGGCAUUGUCCUACUGAUGCAAAUAACCAGGGCGCCACACUAACACUGAUGGCCAGUUCUCCAAAGCCCCUGAGUCUGCCAUCAUUGUAUGAAUGAACAAGUGAAUGUGAGGGUGUGACCUACAGUGAAGCGCUUUGAGUAGUCAGACGACUAGAAAAGAGCUAUAAAGCUCAAGUCCAUCUACAUUUCAGCCUCCAGGUUGAUGCUCCCAUACCCAACCUGACUGAUGUGAUAAAAUUAAGUUUAGGAAAAAAAGAUGUUUAAAGGCACAGAUGGUGCCCUGGUACGCAGACUGCCAGGGUUUAAGCCUGUGGCUCCUGUCCCUCAUGUCUCUCCACUCCUCUCUCAUCCCUGUUUCUGACUAUCCACUGUCCUCCUCUCUGAAUAGAGACAUAAAAAAAACACAAAAAUGUCUUUAAAAAAACACUAAGAAAAACUAGUUUAGGUGUUGGUGAAAAACGUGAAUAAAAACAGGUGCUUGGAGUGGAAACUGUUUCGUGUUUUCAGCAAUAAUAGAAUAAUCAAAUCUGUGCAAAAUACAACUGAAUUCAUUAUCAUUAUGAGACUGGCUGUCUUUUCUUAGACUACUUUAUCAGACUACUGUGUAAUCUAAUGAACAGAGAUUUAGUUUUUUCUUUCAGUGUGUUAACUCUCCAAAAUCGAUGGUGUCGUAUAAACAAGGAGAGACAAAGGAUACAAAAAGCUGAACAACUCUUGAAUCAUAGAUUGUAGCUGGUUUUAGCUGACUUUAUCUUCCUCUGGAAGUCCUCCAUUUUGCUGUUCUAAUGAUGCAAUCCUUUUCUUGUCUUUGGUGACUCUCCAAGGCAUUUUACGUAAGAAUAUUAGGCCAAACAGCGCUUGUGUAUACGCUGGAGGAACCAGCCUGAACGUCUCAGAAUGGAGAGAAAAAGACACAGAGGGCCUGUAACGUGACCUUCUGUGUCACUGCAGACAGGAAGUGCUUUGAGGAAUGGCAAAAAUCAGCUGAUAAAAAAGCACAGGGACUUUUUUGUAAAAGAGUCAAUACUUUCUGUGAAGACUUUUGUCACUUGUUGGUCCCCAAGAGAUGGGAGUCUAGGUCAUAAUUGUUUAAUACAUAAAAACCUUUGACUUUUAAUUUUUUUUAUUUUUUCUUUGUCUUUAUACUCCUUUAACUUUUUAAAAAAGAACCACAGAAAUGAUGUCAUUGUGGUGGUUUUCAUCUUCUCUGGGUUUAUUUUGGUGAUUUCCUUUUUCCUGUUUGAUGUUACGCCCACUGACUUCACUGUGCUCCUUCCGAGGCUCACCUCCCCAUCCCCUGGCGCUGAGGCGGAUUGACCACACCUGACACUGCUCAGUAAUCAAGCUCCCUUUAAGACACCUGCUCACCUCUGCCUCAGCGCCUGAGUAUUAUCUGCACUCGCCAUUGUGCCUCACUCCCUGCUUCAUGCCAGCCCAAACCCAGUGCACUGUCUCUCUCCUGGAGCCCCUCACCAGCACGGACCCUUGGAUUCCCCCCUCCCUCCUGCACAAUUGCUUUGUCAAUAAAUCUGUUUAAACCUUGUAA